GGCCGCGGGAAUUCGAUUUUCCGGUUGAUCCUGCCGGAGGUCACUGCUAUCGGGGUUCGAUUAAGCCAUGCGAGUUGAGAGGGUUUAGACCCUCGGCGGACUGCUCAGUAACACGUGGAUAACCUGCCCUAAGGUGGAGGAUAACCCCGGGAAACUGGGGAUAAUACUCCAUAGAUCAGAGUAACUGGAAUGUUUUCUGGUCGAAAGUUCCGGCGCCUUAGGAUGGAUCUGCGGCCGAUUAGGUAGUUGUUGGGGUAACGGCCCAACAAGCCAGUCAUCGGUACGGGUUGUGGGAGCAAGAGCCCGGAGAUGGAAUCUGAGACACGAUUCCAGGCCCUACGGGGCGCAGCAGGCGCGAAAACUUUACAAUGCAGGAAACUGUGAUAAGGGAACCCCGAGCGCUCGUACACGCGAGCUGUCCAGGUGUGUAAAAAGCAUCUGAAGAAAGGGCCGGGCAAGACCGGUGCCAGCCGCCGCGGUAAUACCGGCGGCUCGAGUGGUGGCCACUAUUAUUGGGCUUAAAGCGUUCGUAGCUGGACUCUUAAGUCUCCUGGGAAAUCCGCCGGCUCAACCGGCGGGCGUCCAGGAGAUACUGGGAGUCUUGGAACCGGAAGAGGUAAGAGGUACUUCG
rnacentral:rRNA from 1 species